AAAUGUCAAAUUCAUCGAGAUCUAGCUCGCUUUCUGAGUCUUCGAUCGAGACAAACGCAUCGAUUUCUUCAUCGGAAUUCAUGACGGCAAAUUCGGACGAAUCUAAUUCGGAAAUUUUGCCAUUUGCCGAUAAUAUUGAACCGCUUGCUUCGCCUGAUUAAAUUGCUGAGUACGAAGCUGCAGUCGCAGAAGAACGGCAGGUUGAGGACAUGCUGCAAGAUCGUUUUGAUGCCCGUGUUGAUGUUACUUCAUGGUGUGAAUGUGGCCAUUGUUCGUUGGAUCUUGUUGUCAACCCUCAAGAGUGCCGAUGCUGCAUGGAAUUAGAGCAAUGCCGUGGUAAAAUGUAUCAGUUCGAAGUCGAUGAAAGGAAAUGCAUUUUGGAUCACACUGGCUUUAACGAAGUUUGACUGAACGAAUUUGUUCUUCAAGCAGCUUCGUUAGGUUUAAAGACCAAAGGUCAUCCCAGUUAUGCGACCGUUUUUCGAGAUGGUCAAAAGACCAGAGAGGAGUUCUUUCGAGCAGUAUCGUACAGACAACUCGUGCGUCUUCUAUGGGACUUUACAGGCAGCUCCAGACAUUUGCCACUGCCUUGUUGUUGUUACAACAAAACACGGACGAUAUUUUUCUUCUUGAAAAUAGCACGAAUCUUCUUUCUUCAUGCAUGAUACAGACACUUCAUUUUGUAUUUCCUUUAAAACCUUAGUAUAAAUGUAUAUUAUAUAUUGAAAGUUUGC